rnacentral:lncRNA from 1 species
GUUGAAAUAAUGCAUAUAAUAGGAGAAAUCGUUGAUAUUAGGUUACGCGGAAGUAUGUUUGCAUGUUUAGGAUAUUUGUAAGCAAAAUAAGUUUAAAAUUAUAUCAAUGAUCGUGAGAAUUAUAAUGUAAGAAUUUUUUCGUGUUUUACCCUCUGCCGUUUUGUAAGAAUUUUUCCGGACAUCAAAAAUUGACACUGAGACAGCUGGAAAUGACACCUUGACCGUUGGAAAUAACACUUGUACUAAAAAAUGACACUUAUCCAAAAAAAUGACACUUGAAAAAUAUUUUUCAAAAAAAAAUCACUAAAAAAAAAUCCCUCCCCCCUCCCAUCAUCUUCCCCAUUCCCCCACCCUAAUUUCCCUUCCCUCUGCCGCUGCCGCCCCCUACGAAAUUUACCCAGUCGUCGUCCCCUCCACAUCCG